GAUGAACGCUGGCGGCGUGCCUAAUACAUGCAAGUCGAGCGAACGGACGAGAAGCUUGCUUCUCUGAUGUUAGCGGCGGACGGGUGAGUAACACGUGGAUAACCUACCUAUAAGACUGGGAUAACUUCGGGAAACCGGAGCUAAUACCGGAUGAUAUUUUGAACCGCAUGGUUCAAAAGUGAAAGACGGUCUUGCUGUCACUUAUAGCUGGAUCCGCGCUGCAUUAGCUAGUUGGUACGGUAACGGCUUACCAAGGCAACGAUGCAUAGCCGACCGGAGAGGGUGGUAGGCCACACUGGAGCGUAAACGCGGUCCAGGCGCCUACGGGAGGCAGCAGUAGGGAAUCUGCCGCAAUGGGCGAAAGCCUGACGGAGCAACGCCGCGUGAGUGAUGAAGGUCUUCGGUUCGUAAAACUCUGUUAUUAGGGAAAAACAUAUGUGUAAGUAACUGUGCACAGCUUGACGGUACCUAAUCAGAAAGCCACGGCUAACUACGUG
rnacentral:rRNA from 1 species